rnacentral:rRNA from 1 species
GACGAACGCUGGCGGCGUGCUUAACACAUGCAAGUCGAACGAAGUGGCGAACGGGUGAGUAACGCGUAAUCAACCUGCCCUUCAGAGGGGGACAACAGUUGGAAACGACUGCUAAUACCGCAUACUGAAGGAGGGGCUUUCGUCUGCAGAGCGAGUAGGAGGGGUAACGGCCCACCAAGGCGAUGAUCAGUAGCAGGGCUGAGAGGAUGAACGGACAAAUGUGGACUGAAACAAGGCACAGACUCCUACGGGAGGCAGCAGUGGGGAAUCAGUCGCAAUGGACGAAAGUCUGACGGAGCAAAGCCGCGGGAGGGAUUACGGCCGUCGGAUUGUAAAGCACUGUUAAUCGGGACCCGGUACCGGAAUAGAAAGCCACGGCGAACUACGUGCCAGCAGCCGCGGUAAUUC